CCUACGGGAGGCAGCAGUGGGGAAUAUUGCGCAAUGGGCGAAAGCCUGACGCAGCGACGCAGCGUGAGGGAUGAAGGCCUUCGGGUUGUAAACCUCUUUCAGCGGGGACGAAGCGAAAGUGACGGUACCCGCAGAAGAAGCACCGGCUAACUACGUGCCAGCAGCCGCGGUAAUACGUAGGGUGCAAGCAUUGUCCGGAUUUAUUGGGCGUAAAGAGCUCGUAGGCGGCUUGUCACGUCGGGUGUGAAAACUUGGGACUCAACCCCAAGCCUGCACUCGAUACGGGCUAGCUAGAGUGUUGCAGGGGAGACUGGAAUUCCUGGUGUAGCGGUGAAAUGCGCAGAUAUCAGGAGGAACACCGGUGGCGAAGGCGGGUCUCUGGGCAACUACUGACGCUGAGGAGCGAAAGCGUGGGGAGCGAACAGGAUUAGAUACCCUGGUAGUCCACGCCGUAAACGGUGGGCGCUAGGUGUGGGGAACCUUCCACGUUCUCUGUGCCGCNGCUACGCAUAAGCGCCCGCCGUCGGGAGGUACGGCCGCGAGGACGUAAACUUAAAAGGUAAGUUAGACGGCGNGAGACGUGCCGACGGACGACGACGAGGGAGGUAGG
rnacentral:rRNA from 1 species